rnacentral:lncRNA from 1 species
CAACAUAAAAACUUUUAACACAACACAUCUCCUAAAUAAUACUCAAUCGUAAUUCACAAAAAAAAUCGGAAAAAACUUAAUUUUUUAUUAUCCAAACAUUCCUAGAACAUUCCGAAAUGGUUCAAAAAAGAACAGAACCGUGUUUAUCGUGUAAAUUAAUAUCAGUUGGUUGUAUGUUGGGUAUUGGAGGUUAUUUAUUCUAUCAGGGUAGAAAACAAACUCGAUUUUCGAAGUAUACAUUUUAUUCAUUAGCAUCUGGAGCAACCGCCUUAGGAAUAGGUGAAAUGUUCGAUUACUCUCCAUUUCGACAUGCACAAUAAAAAGAACAAUUUUAUUUAAUUUUAAUCAUUUUCCAUAAUUAUUUCAAAUUAUUUUCCAACUUUUCCCAGUUUAGUAUCAGUUUUUGGAUUAGCUGUGAUGUUUUGGACAGAAACAAUAACUUCGUUUCCUUUAGUUUGUAAGUUGCGCAAAUCUUGUAUGUAGAUAAGUCUUAAAACUUUCGCUGCUUGGUUUAAACCAACAUCACCCAAAUCAAAACCAAGAUCGGUAUUGUGAUAUGGAAAUGGGGUACCCUUUAUAAUUAAAAAAAUUUUUAUAAAUAUAUCAAUAAAUUCAA